GAUGAACGCUAGCGGCAGGCCUAACACAUGCAAGUCGAACGGUAACAUGAGUAGCAAUACUUGAUGACGAGUGGCGCACGGGUGCGUAACGCGUAUGCAACUUACCUCUAACUGGAGAAUAGCCUUCCGAAAGGAAGAAUAAUACUCCAUAAUAUUACGAUGUGGCAUCACAUUGUUCUUAAAGCUUCGGCGGUUAGAGAUGGGCAUGCGUCUGAUUAGCUUGUUGGUGAGGUAACGGCUCACCAAGGCAACGAUCAGUAGGGGGCCUGAGAGGGUUAUCCCCCANACUGGUACAGAGACACGGACCAGACUCCUACGGGAGGCAGCAGUAAGGAUAUUGGACAAUGGCGCAAGGCUGAUCCAGCCAUGCCGCGUGCAGGAAGACGGACCUAUGGUUUGUAAACUGCUUUUGAACGGGAGAAAACCCCCCUACGUGUAGGGGGCUGAUAGUACUGUUAGAAUAAGCAUCGGCUAACUUCGUGCCAG
rnacentral:rRNA from 1 species